rnacentral:rRNA from 1 species
UCUGGCGCAAGACGCCUGCAGCUGUACCAGGGCUCAUCUUCCCAGCAAUCAGCGAGUUGGGGGCCGAUAGUCCCACA